rnacentral:rRNA from 1 species
GACGAACGCUGGCGGCGUGCUUAACACAUGCAAGUCGAACGGAAAGGCCCUGCUUUUGUGGGGUGCUCGAGUGGCGAACGGGUGAGUAACACGUGAGUAACCUGCCCUUGACUUUGGGAUAACUUCAGGAAACUGGGGCUAAUACCGGAUAGGAGCUCCUGCUGCAUGGUGGGGGUUGGAAAGUUUCGGCGGUUGGGGAUGGACUCGCGGCUUAUCAGCUUGUUGGUGGGGUAGUGGCUUACCAAGGCUUUGACGGGUAGCCGGCCUGAGAGGGUGACCGGCCAAGAGGGGGAAGAGAUGCGGCAGAGGGUGAUCGGUGAGGAAGGAGUGGGGAGGGAGGGAGAAGGGGCGGAGGGCUGAAGACGGGUGGCGGCUGGGGGGGAGAGGGGGUAAGGGUUGUAAGCAAAGGAGACCUGAGAAGAAGCGUGGGGGAAGGGGAUGGAUAGAGAAGCACCGGCAAAAAAGGG